rnacentral:rRNA from 1 species
UACAGAGGAUGCAAGCGUUAUCCGGAAUGAUUGGGCGUAAAGCGUCUGUAGGUGGCUUUUUAAGUCCGCCGUCAAAUCCCAGGGCUCAACUCUGGACAGGCGGUGGAAACUACCAAGCUGGAGUACGGUAGGGGCAGAGGGAAUUUCCGGUGGAGCGGUGAAAUGCGUAGAUAUCGGAAGGAACACCUGUGGCGAAAGCGGCUCACUGGACCAUUACUGACGCUGAUGCACGAAAGCUAGGGGAGCAAACAGG